GUGGUUCAGAGAUGACCUUCAGGACAGCUUUAACUCCAGGUUUUAUCUUCACAUCUUCUACUGAACCAGGCAAAAUCAUUUCAGAAGCCAGAAGAGGACAGAAGAGAUCCUGAAUGUCUAUUUCUUUUUCCCUGGUGCUCCCUUUCCAGCAACUAUGCUUGGGUUUGUAAUCCCAGCCUUUGCACACCAAAAUGAGGUAGGGAGUGCUUGCAUGAGCUACUCAGCUGGGAGAUGUGAGGGGGCGACAAUCUGUGGUUGUAAGAGACUGAGUGGAAACUUCUAYAGCUGGCAUGUGCGUCGAGGGCCCCCGAAAGUCAUGGGUGUGCAAUUCCCUGCCGGCAUUUCCCCAUCAUUAAUCACCUAGGGGCCGUGAGUUUCCACGGGCUCAUUAACAGCGCAGCAGCAAUAUGCAGUGAGUAACACAGUGUCACUGCUGCAAAUGGCACCACUUUGGAUCAUUACUAUAGAUUGCCUGAGCGUUAUUCCUCUCCUAGCUACAGUUUCAUUUGAAUUCAACCGGAUUCCAUCAAAUAUUCAAAUGCAAGCUGAUAUUCAACCGCAGCGGAAGGUAGUUUGCUGGCGGCAAGUCAAGAGUUUCCAGAAAAAGUCUCCACGGUCUUUGAAAUUAUUCCCUUCAUCUCUCGGGCAGCAUUUCUUUGCUAGCUACCAGGAGGGAAGGUACCACAGAGCAAAUGGAUGCAUGAAGAAAAAUGGCACAAAUCUCUAAAAACAACUUUGCGYGCUCUCCCUAGCAAACUGUUUCUACUCUUUCUGCCUUUUUUAAAGCUGGUUUUAUU